UACGGAGGGAGCUAGCGUUGUUCGGAAUUACUGGGCGUAAAGCGCACGUAGGCGGCUAUUCAAGUCGGGGGUGAAAGCCCGGAGCUCAACUCCGGAACUGCCAUUGAAACUGUUGGACUUGAGUACGAGAGAGGUGAGUGGAAUUCCCAGUGUAGAGGUGAAAUUCGUAGAUAUUGGGAAGAACACCGGUGGCGAAGGCGGCUCACUGGCUCGUAACUGACGCUCAGGCGCGACAGCGUGGGGAUCAAACAGG
rnacentral:rRNA from 1 species